AGGCUCGCACUCAAAGGAAUAAAAUCAACCGCAGCAGGCAUCAUAUGACCCACACUGCCGACUCAAGGAGCUUUGCUCAAGUGCGUGAAGAAGAGUGGGCAAACAAUCUUGGUGGAGAGUCUCCUGAUUGGGCAACGUUGUUCAUAACGACCCAUCGGAAGAAAGAUGGGAGUGUUGUGAACGAGGAGUCGGCUCAUGUUAUUGAAAUGAUUGAGGAGUUACGAGCAACUUAGACUGCUGAGUCCUCUCAGAGUAGCACUGCCCGAGAUGAUCUCUUAUCCUAGAUAUUGGGACCAGAGCAUCCAGGCCAGGUCCGCAUGAUGGGGUUAGGUCCCACAGCUUCCACGUUAUGGGGCACAAGAAAUACCAUUGCAGAACUCAGGAGGGAGACUGAUGAGUUGCGACGACACAUGAAUGAGCGGGUAGAGCAACUAGUGGAGGAGCGGAUGAAAGAACAGAUGGCUAAGCAUCUAGAGCAAAUGGAACAAUGGAUGACGGAGCGAAUAACGGAGCAGAUGGAGGAAUGGAUGACAGAGAGAAUA